UUGAGAACGCCGUCUCCCUCUUUCUUCCCAUUUCCUUAGCGACCGCCCGAGGCGUCGCGUGAGACGCCGGUCGGCCGCUCACGCCCAUAAUUCCUCCGUUGGCUCCUCGUAUUUUUCUCAACGAUAUCGAAUUAAAUCCUAAGAUUUAAUUGAGCACAUGAAUUAAUUAUCGAAGAUGUUUUCCCUCGCAAUAUAUUUAUUUCGGACUUGGGAUAAAUUAUUCAUCCUUCGAAAUAUUCCAAAAAUUAACUAAAUAAUUCUCAACAAUUAAAUUAUCGGCCCAAGGAUUAAUUAACUUGACCCAAGAUAAUUGUUAUCUUAGUCCACCUUAUUUCACCAAUUUAUUUAGUGAGGCCAAAAGAAAAUAGCCCAAAUUAAUAUAUCCCCAUCCUUAUUUCUCCAUUUAUGUAAUAAUGCCCAACUAAUAAAAGAAGCUCCAACUCAAUUCCUUAUUUAAUUUUACUCCAACAAUAUUAAAUUUCCAAGUCUACUAGUUUAAUUAGGUAGCCCCAAAUCCACAAAAUCUCUCGGCCCAAAGUAAAUUAAUUAUUAGGCCCCAAAUCCUUAAAUCCAAAUUCCUUCAUUUAAAAGGGACAAGCCCAAUUUCUUUAUUCUUCCAUUGGGCUCUCUUUUUCUUUUAAUCCAACAUGGCCCAAUUCUAAAGUCAAUGAGUCAAAUACUCCAUUCCACUCCCAUCGGUACUUCUACAGAAUGUUUCCCCAAAUUUCUUAAAUCUUUCAAAAAAAAUCCCUAAGAAUUAGUGAAGGAGCAGCAAUUUCCUCUCUUCUUCUCCGACGAAAUCGCGUUAUAGUCGGCUCGCUCUCCACCGAUCAUUGUCACAGGCGUCUAGUCCUUUCUCCCGACGAGGUUUCCGACAGAGAAGGUGUCACUCCCUGCCUCCCUGCGAAGUUACCGAUAGGAAGGAGGCGUCGCCUCCCUUCCACGGCGUCGAUACCGGCCGCCGCUGCCUCCAACUCCUCACCGCCAAUCCUCCGUCGCACGCCGUCGCUGCUGUCUAAAGUCAACCGCUGCUGCUACCGCUGCACAGAGUCGGGCUGUUUGUUCGCCCCUGCUCCGUCGGUGGUCGUGCAGCCCCGAAACAUCACCGCAGCCCCCGAUUCGUCCCGAAACCAAUCCGAACCACCCCGCAAGGUAUAAUCGGUUCAAGUUCGUGGCUGUCCGCGUUGAAGCACCCGAUUUUCUUAGAACGUAGGAUGUAUAAAUUAAAUUUUGUUGGACUUUUGUUGGAUAUAUCGGACAUUAGAAUUUUGAUUAUAGUAAUUUAUUUAUUAAUUUAAAUUUAUUAUAUUCA